CCAGUUGGAUAGAUCUACGCAUGCAGUUGGGUUCGCUUUCAUCUUGCGUUCGUAACUUAUGUCAUCAACCAAAUGUCGUAUAACAUGGGAAUCUAAUUAAACAACAACUCUGCUAAAAGGUUGUAUUGGAUAUACCUGUUAUAGAUAUAAUGAAGCAAAUGUCGCAUAGCUCAUCAAUCAACCUAAUGGCAACCCUGGCCAAAUUGCUAUAGUAUAUCUACAUAUACCAAACUACGCAAUAGAAUUGAUCAAUCAAAGUUUCGACAUUUAGCCUAACUUCCAUCUGUUUUACAUAUUUUUUAACUCUAAUCACACAUCCCAUGAUUCUUAAUAUUGUUAUUAUUAUUGUAAUGUUGGCAGCCCUGUUUUAAGCUACACUCAACUUUAUUUUGGUCUUACUUAUGUCAUCAAUCAAAUGUGCCACCGUUUGUCAAUCAAUAUCAAUAUCAACAACAGCAACAGCUCAAAGUUUUAUGGGGGAAUGCACAAAAAUGGAUGUACGAAAAUUUGUGCAACGCCUACGAGCUACCAAUAGCGAAAUCAAUAAAAGGCCAAGCCAACUCGCGUUUAUGGCCAAACGAAAUUAAGCUGAAGUUUCCAGAUAUAGUGGGAUUACACAGCGAGAAAAUUAAAUGUAUUUGAUAUGCCAACCCUUUUGCAUUACAAAUUGGAGGCACUGUCUUCUCCCAGUGCAGUUGUGCAGUUACAUUUAUUUAUUUUGCCCGUGGUUUUUGUUUUGUUUGUGAUUUUGGCUCGUGUUUCGUUUUAUUUUUGCAUUUGUCAACUGAAAUAAAGUGCACAGCUUUUCUUUUUCA